rnacentral:misc_RNA from 1 species
GGGUGAGGGGGGGGGGGGAGAAGGUAUAUUUAUGAAAGAGUGGAUUGGCAGUAAGGGUAACGGUAGAAGGUAUAUUGUAUUAUGAAAGAGUUAUGUAUUUGACGAUACGAUUGUUUCAUUAGAAUAAAAUUUGCAAUUAAUCAAUUAAAAGAAAAAUUAUUAAAUAUCCUUGAUAUAAUUUUCGAUUAAAAAUUAGUUAGAACCAUAUUUAUUUUGAUUGUUUACCCUUUUUAAAAGGAAGAAAAGUGUCAUUAAAUAUCGUAAUAAUAAAGAAGUAAAGCCAAUUAUAUUCAUAAAGGCAAAAAAUGUGGAAACUGUUGUAAAUUUUUACCAUGAAUUAAAAAAAACGAAACUAAUUUGAUAUUUGCUCUGUUGUAGACUCUAAUAUUGUUUUGAAUGUAAAAUUGUAAAAGUACAUUCUGUUUCGCAAACCCUUGUAAUACAAACUGCUUAAUGUUCCUCGUUAAUUAAUGUAAUCGUUUCAGAGAAAAUGCGCCAGCUAUGAGGAAUUAAAAUCCGCCAAAAAUUACUUUUUAAUGGAUUUUAACGAAGUUCCUGACUUUGACCCUAUAGAAGCUUACUCUAUGUCUAUAGAUGAAUCUACUUCGCGUUCACUUAACCUAACUCCUACCAACUUACAGGAAGGAGCAUAUAAUGAGUCUACAAACCCAACCGGAGUAAUUGAUCUCGGUUCUAUAAAGACGGCUGGAUUGAGCUUAACUCCGGUAUGUCCUCCGACCAACCUUUACAUCACGGAGCCGAACUUGUCCGAGUACUUCUCAACCCAUCCUCAGCAGUACGAUCAAACGCAGUAUUUAAACCUACCAGAGGAGAGGGUUCGAAGCUCUGUGCUCAGUCCUAAUUCCUCUCCUUCCAUUAGUCCUCAGAAAUCCCCAAACCCGUCCUACUCCAGGAUGCAAUAUCCACCGGAGUAUCAAUACUACCCGGAGUCAGGACGCGUCCCAGCUCUGCCUCCGACCUACCAGGAGUACCUACAUGAGAAGCAGGUUGGGCAAUCGCAUUUUCUUAGACAGGAUCCGUCCCAAGGAUUUCUCCAUCCAGGUCAGGUUCAGGCUCCUCUUCAGAAUAUGCUCCUGGUGCCUGGUUCCACUCAGAGUUCGGCUCCAAAAUUUAGUAAGGUUGUAUCCGGGGAUAAAACUAUUGUUUACUCCCAGUCGUUACCCCCACCUGGAUAUCCUCCCCCGAAUUCUCCCCCUGGACCCUCCUCCUCCUACAUAUCUGUAUCUCCGGGUUCAACUCCAAAUAUUUCUCCGAACUCUAGUUUCUCCUUAUCUCCGUCUCCGAGUAAGAAAACUGGCGGAACCUCCCCUAAACCCUCUCCGAAAAAGGGUCAGCAUGAGGUUCUGAUUAAUCAAGAGUUUGCGGAUAUUCCUGGAGUAAACCUGAGAAAAGGAAACGUAGAAAUCAACAUUUACGUCGCUAGUCUAGUACCCUACGCUCAUCCUGGAUUCCAGAAUAUUGAUAUGUACGCAGAACGUUGCUUAGCCUGCGUAGUGCGUAAACUUAAAAACAAUCUUCGUGGCUUGCAAGUUCUGUACAGGUCCGUGAAAGGUGAUGAAGGAGAUCAAGGUUGUGUAAUCAUUCCUAGAAGUAAAGACUCCAGGAUCACAAUAACUAGACAGGGUGGAGUAGGAGCAGCAUCGAAACGUAUUCAUCCUCAUCUUGCCCUGGUUCAGAUAUUUUAUAAUCCACAGGCGCAAGCUUUGAAUUACCUCGAACCAGUGGCGUCCUGCACAAGUCCUUUUGUUCAAGGAUCAAACUUGGUUGAGAUGUGCUUAAACCCGUUCCAUUACUCCGUAGUGCCGCCAACUCCGGGGAAUAAAUCUCCAGGUGCCGCCAGGAAAAGUCCGAUGAAACCCAGGAGUAAUAAAAGUGUAACACUGAGCAAGAAUCCUCUCAUGGAUUAUUUAAAGUCUCAGGGUCAGGGGGUUAAGGUUGAGGAAGAAAGUGAUUCAGAUUUUCUCUCUGAUUCAUCCGACUCGGAGGAUUGGGAGAACAAGUGGAGAUCGGAGUCAAUACUACCGGAGAAAUCUAAUCCUUCUCAGAAUGAUCCCGAGGAAUUGAUCAAGAAGAUUAGAUUCCUGGCCCUAAAGAGGAAAGAGGCAGAUUCGGAGAGGACAGAGGCUAUGAUGAAGAGGACAGAGGCUAUGGUGGAGAGGACAGAUGCUUCUCCUAAACUCCUGGAAAAACUACGGAUACUAGAGGAUCUAAGAUGUCUGUUUAAAGGAAAGAUUGAUCUCAGCUUUGCAACCAAAUCUAAUCAGAAUAAACCCAAAACCAAAACUAGGUCUGGACGGAGAUGUGUUGAUUAUAGUGUGGGACGAGGAACACUGAUAUCUCCCGCACUAACGUUUGCAAUCAGGAAAUAUCUGGCAAAACAACGUUUGAAGUAUGAACAAUCAAAUCCUGAUAAAUCCGCCAAAAGUAUCACUUCAAACAUAACUUCCAAUUCAAUACCUAAUCCUCAAAAUUUAUCCUUAAAUUUUGACACGCCGUUGCCUUCAAGAGAAAGGGUAAAGGUUGAAAACGAAAACGUAAAUAUGAGCACUGAUAUGAGAAGUAAUUUUGAAUACGAUGGUGGGAUGAUAAAUGAUGCAAGACAGGAGAAGGAUGAAAUGAUGGGAGAGGAUAUAAGGAUAAAAGAGGAGAGGAUGGAUGAGGAGGAUGAAGAGGAGUUUAUGGAGAAUGAAAACAAAGAUGAACUUCAUAUACAGGAUUUACUGGGAAGCAUCAAGGACUCUUUCGAGACAGAUUUGGACAUGGAGCUGGACACCUUCACCCACCAGGACCAGGAGGAAUUCAAUCACGAGGAGUUCCAGCAGUUUAGUAUUGCAAAUACAUUUUCUAUCUCAGGGUAUACAUCACCCAGCAUUCAGGACAAGGAUGAAAGCAGUCUGCCUGGUUCAGAUCUUGAUCUAGGAGAUCUAGGAGUACAAGGAGGUCUAGGACAGAGUUCUGAUGCUCUGCUGGUUGGAGCUGAGGAGGGUUCUCCGGGUAUACUGGAGAACAGGGAUACUCUACCUUGUAUAGUGAGUAGCUGGAGUGUAGAGGGAGGGGAGGAUAAUGAUAAUAGUUUUCUUAUGUUUGAUACAUAGCUCCCCCUUUCUCCAGAACAGAUUUAGAUUAAUUAUCACAAAAGGAUUGUUUUACCCUGAUAAGUUUAUGUUAAAAAACGCAUUUUGUUUUUUUGUCUGUUUUGUAGCGAUGAUAUUUUAUUGAUUUGCAUUAAACCACCGGCUGCUAAUUAAAGUUACACAAGUUUUCAAGAUUGGGUCGACUUUAAAGUGUUGCCACGCCUUGACCUUUAAUUUUACUUCACUAACUCAUAUAUACUUUUCGUAGCCCUAGACAAUAGACAUAUAUCAGCUGAUAACUGUGACGAAACAUACCUGACGAAACUUAUAUAAUUUCUGUAAACUUCGAGGGGCUAAGUUAUACGUUUAAAAACAAGUCUAUGCAUUUGAUUUUACUUUAAUUACAAGUUGUGAAUAUUUUUCGAAAUGUUUAAAUUUUCCGUAAUAUUUCAUAGUUUAUGUAAGUAAAUGUUUCAGAAAAA